AAUUGAUAAAUAAAAGUUUUGAUUUCGAAUCAAAAAAUUAAUAAUCAAAAA
rnacentral:tRNA from 1 species